AAUAGGAUAAUGAAAAAUUAGAUUUUUCCUCCUGAUUUUCAGCAUUUUUCUCCGGAAAAAAUUUAAAUCCAACUAAAGAUACUGAAAAUCAGGUGGAAAAAUUUGAUUUGUCAUUAUCUUAUU
rfam:Gossypium raimondii Chr07_contig_1251, whole genome shotgun sequence.